rnacentral:rRNA from 1 species
CGGCACGGGUGAGUAACACGUAUCCAACCUGCCGUCUACUCUUGGACAGCCUUCCGAAAGGAAGAUUAAUACAAGAUGGCAUCAUGAGUUCACAUGUUCACAUGAUUAAAGGUAUUCCGGUAGACGAUGGGGAUGCGUUCCAUUAGAUAGUAGGCGGGGUAACGGCCCACCUAGUCUUCGAUGGAUAGGGGUUCUGAGAGGAAGGUCCCCCACAUUGGAACUGAGACACGGUCCAA